rnacentral:rRNA from 1 species
AAGCUGGAAUCGCUAGUAAUCGCGAAUCAGCAUGUCGCGGUGAAUACGUUCCCGGGUCUUGUACACACCGCCCGUCACACCAUGGGAGGUUGGAAAUGCCCGAAGUCAGUGACCCAACCGAAAGGAGGGAGCUGCCGAAGGCAGGUUCGAUAACUGGGGUGAAGUCGUAACAAGGUACC